CUCCACUAGAGGGCGACAUUAUCAAGUAGGCGGUGCACUACUUCUGCACUGUGUUCAACCAUUCUGUCAAUAAUAACUGCUGCUGUGAAGAGAACAAUUGUCACACUGAAUGUUGAACAUCAGCUAGUUUCUCCUGUUGAUUUAAACCUUGUUGUAGAGAUGGAACAUUGGCUGUGGAUUAUUCUUGCUGCUCUUUUCUUUGAGUGUAAAGGAGAAGACAGAGUGACCCAGCCACCAGGAGAUGUCAUUGCUACUGAAGGAGAGACAGUUACACUUGGAUGUACAUUUGAGACCAGUGACAGCUUCCCCUAUUUGUUCUGGUACAAACAGGAUGGAAUUGAUUCCCCAAAGUUCAUGCUGAAACGUUUUUCAGAUUCAUCAGAAAAUGCUGCUCAGUUUAAGAAAGACCGAUUUAAUGCUACAAUCAAGAAUAAGUCAGUUCCUCUGAAGAUCCAGAAGCUUCAGCUGUCUGACUCUGCUGUGUACUACUGUGCUCUGCAGCCCACAGUGACAGGAAACACCAAAACUCUGUACAAAAACCUUUGGAGCAAAGACAACAGAAUACUCAACACCCACUACAACACCCACUAGAGGGAGUCACACACU